AAAAUUUUAAUAAAGAUUAAGUACUAAAUAGANNNCCCAACANUAGUUGAUUACANUGAACAAGUUACUGUAGGGAUAACAGCGUAAUAUAUAUCUAAAGUUCUUAUUUUGAUAUAAGUUUGCGACCUCGAUGUUGAAUUNAUAUUACUUUCAAGCGCAAGAGCCUGAAAAGUGGGUCUGUUCGACCCCUAAAUAUAUACAUGAUUUGAGUUCAAAUCGGUGUAAACCAGAUUGGUUUCUAUCUAUUNUUAUUUGUGUCUUAGUACGAAAGGACCUGAAACAAUAUUAUAUAAUNAUUUAUAUGGCAGAAAAAUGCUUUAGAUUUAGGAUCUAAUUAUAAUAGAUUAUUAUACUCUAUUUAACUUGCCUAAUCUCUGUUAUUAGAAUCCUUAUCGCAGUAGCUUUUUAUACCCUCCUAGAGCGAAAAAUUCUAAGCUACAUCCAA
rnacentral:rRNA from 1 species